GGACCCGCACAAGCGGUGGAGCAUGUGGUUUAAUUCGAAGCAACGCGAAGAACCUUACCUAGUCUUGACAUCCUUCUGAUCGCACUUUAAUCGGUGUUUUCCUUCGGGACAGGAGUGACAGGUGGUGCAUGGUUGUCGUCAGCUCGUGUCGUGAGAUGUUGGGUUAAGUCCCGCAACGAGCGCAACCCUUAUCUUUAGUAGCCAGCAGUUCGGCUGGGCACUCUAGAGAGACUGCCAGGGAUAACCUGGAGGAAGGUGGGGAUGACGUCAAAUCAUCAUGCCCCUUAUGACUAGGGCUACACACGUGCUACAAUGGCGUAAACAAAGGGAAGCGACCCUGCGAAGGUGAGCAAAUCUCAAAAAUAACGUCUCAGUUCGGAUUGUAGUCUGCAACUCGACUACAUGAAGCUGGAAUCGCUAGUAAUCGACGAAUCAAGAAUGUCG
rnacentral:rRNA from 1 species